CAUUUGUAUAACACACAACACACAACAUAUCAAGCCAAAAGAAUCAAAAACAAGUUUGAGUAAUAAAAGUUUCUCUUCUCCAAAUCUUUCUACUCUUCCAAAAUUCCCUUAGCCUAAAAGCCUCCCUCCAAAUAUUAAUAGCAAUCCUCUUCCAACAAUAGCUACCUAUUAAACUUAUUUUUAAGAGGGAACAAUAUUUUAGGAGGCGAAAGACGGAUAGAACAAUUGCAAGCACUGAAUUACAGGAGUUCUUUUUACAAUUAUUCCUUAAUUUGUAGAUUAAUACUUUUUGUUAUUAGCAUGAUUGUUAGCAUAUCUAUGAGUAGCUAAAUUUCUAUUCUAUAGUUGAUUGAACUUUUGAAGGAUGAAUUCAUUUUACGUUCUAAUAUAGUUUUACCUUUGAAUUUUUCUAUGUAUUUAAUUGCGUGCUUAUUUUAGUUAAUUGAAAAAGCCCUCAAUUGAUUAUGCCUAU
rnacentral:lncRNA from 1 species